rnacentral:lncRNA from 1 species
AAUGUCAAUUCCUAGUACCAAAGUUCUAUCCAUUAAUGCACAAAGAAUCAACUAUCAGGGAUCAUGAUUACUGCUCUAAUAGGGAAACGGACGUAUAAAUCAAAACCACAUCGGUAUCAAGGAUAUACCUUUUGAUGAUGGAGUCCGACCUUGUGUGGAUCCUGGUUUGGGGAAACACACAACGAUACAAAAUAUAAUCAGAGUCUAACUACUGAAGCCAUAAUUCCAAGGCCUAAGAAGAGGUAUAAAAAGGAAAAAAAACCCCCACCAUCAAGUCAUAUCAGCAUUGGUCUGCUUAGUAUCCUCACCAUCCCUUGUCAAGUGUCAACAAAAAGAGAAAAAUGUGCCAAACAAUCUAAAAAAAAAAAUGAAAAACACAAUCAAUGGAAUGCUAAGAAGAGGAAGCCAGAUUCAUAAGAGAGACACGAUCAAACCGACAAAACCAACUUAGUUUCAAAACGGGUGUCACAUUAAGACACAGAUUCAUUAG